GAUGAACGCUGGCGGCGUGCCUAAUACAUGCCAGUCGAGCGAACAGACGAGGAGCUUGCUCCUCUGACGUUAGCGGCGGACGGGUGAGUAACACGUGGAUAACCUACCUAUAAGACUGGGAUAACUUCGGGAAACCGGAGCUAAUACCGGAUAAUAUAUUGAACCGCAUGGUUCAAUAGUGGAAGACGGUUUUGCUGUCACUUAUAGAUGGAUCCGCGCCGCAUUAGCUAGUUGGUAAGGUAACGGCUUACCAAGGCAACGAUGCGUAGCCGACCUGAGAGGGUGAUCGGCCACACUGGAACUGAGACACGGUCCAGACUCCUACGGGAGGCAGCAGUAGGGAAUCUUCCGCAAUGGGCGAAAGCCUGACGGAGCAACGCCGCGUGAGUGAUGAAGGUCUUCGGAUCGUAAAACUCUGUUAUUAGGGAAGAACAAAUGUGUAAGUAACUAUGCACGUCUUGACGGUACCUAAUCAGAAAGCCACGGCUAACUACGUG
rnacentral:rRNA from 1 species